rnacentral:snoRNA from 1 species
UGGAAAUGAUGAAUUCUCGCUGAACUGAUGUGAUACAUAUCACAGAUGAGCACAACCCAAGAUAGUCAAGUCCUGAUCCAG